AGACAGCAGUAGCCGCGGGAAUACGAAGGGUGCAAGCGUUACUCGGAAUUACUGGGCGUAAAGCGUGCGUAGGUGGUGGUUUAAGUCCGUUGUGAAAGCCCUGGGCUCAACCUGGGAAUUGCAGUGGAUACUGGGUCACUAGAGUGUGGUAGAGGAUAGUGGAAUUUCCGGUGUAGCAGUGAAAUGCGUAGAGAUCGGAAGGAACAUCUGUGGCGAAGGCGACUAUCUGGGCCAACAUUGACACUGAGGCACGAAAGCGUGGGGAGCAAACAGGAUUAGAUACCCCCGUAGUCCCUGUCUCUUAUAC
rnacentral:rRNA from 1 species